GAACACAUUGAGAAUCAGGAGCCACCAACCCGGCUUUCCAGCUGGAAGGGGCGCUGAAAUUUGGCAGAGGGGGUCAAGGCCUUCAGUCUUGCAGGCUGAGGAUGGGCUACUGAACGUUCUUUGCAAACCAAGACAGAAUGCUUCUGGAAGUCUCCUUAAUUAGUAGCCAAGAGGUCACUAUUCUGAUCCUUUGAUUUCCUAGUCUCUGGACCGCAACCCCAGCUGUCCCUAGAAAUGAACUAUCUCAACCAAGUUCCUUAGGAGCUUAAGAGUAAGAUGUGUUUAACUGGGUGUUAGUUCCCUCAGGCAUCCAGUUUAAGGGGAGGGGGUUUGCUGGAGAGAUGGCUCAGCAGGUAAGAGUACUGGCUGUUCUUCCAGAGGACCCGGGUUUGGUUCCCAGCACCCACAUAGUGCAAUCUAUCACUUGUGACUCCACUUCCAGAGGCUCUAAAGCCCCCCCCCCCCCCGCCUUUUGCCAUCUAUGAGCAUACACCAGGUGGUACACAGACAUACAUGCAGGCAAAACAUCCAUCACACACGUGAAAGAGAUCAGUUGAAAAAGAAGGGGGUAGAGCAUUCGGUGUAGGAUGGAUUCCCAGCACCUGUUGAGCAUCUCUGCACCCUCUGCUGUCUGCUGCAAGAAGCAGCUCCUAUGAGUGAGGAUGAGGUCAUCCCAGGGACUGGAGGUGUGGAAAUAUGGGGAGAGUUGAAUGGGGUGACAAUACGGGUGGUUGUUCUCAUAUUUCAUUGUGUAUACAUUUCUGAAGAAUAAAGACAAUGUAUCUUUCUGAAGAAUAAAGAAAAAAUUUCUUUCUGAACAAUGAAGAAAAACAUAUCUUAAAAAGGCAGAUCUUUUCUAGUUUUGUAUUUUGUAGCUUCAAAGAGGCAUUUUGGACAUGGAUUUGGAGAGCCCUGUAUCUGCUCCUACCCUCAAGAGCCUGUGGAUUUGGAGAUUUGCAAGGAAGCUAGGACAGCACAACUGUCCUUUGGGAAGGAACUGGACCAACACGAUUUGUUUUUGCUGUUUGGGUAUUUUUUGCCCAGAACAAAGGGGGAUUUGUUGAUAGGACCGGGCAGCAGUGAACCAGACACAGUACUUCCUAGCUGAAUACACUGUCUCAUCCCCUCCUGGACAGUUCCUGGGCUUAAAAGAACCCCACCUGUCCUGUUGUCAAUCACGCUCUAGAUUCUGUCUGAGAAGACAUGGAUAUCUGUGAUGAGAGAGUUCCGUCUGUUAGUGCUCAGAGGCACUGUUUCCCUAAAGCAGAGAAGA